rnacentral:miRNA from 1 species
AUUCUAAUUUCUCCACAUCUUUG